rnacentral:rRNA from 1 species
GGCUAUGGCCACACAACCUGAAGGUACCCGAUCUCAUUUGAUCUCUGAAGCUAAGCAGGGUCAGGCCCGAUGGGAGACAAAAGCCA